UACAAAAACAUGUCCUUUUGAUAAUUAUUUAAGGUYUGACCUGCCCAAUGAAGUAUUUAAUGGCCGCGGUAUUUUAACCGUGCUAAGGUAGCAUAAUCAUUUGUCUUUUAAUUGUAGGCUUGUAUGAAUGGUUGGACGAGGUAUUAACUUUCUUAAUUUUUUUUUUUAGAAUUUAAUUUUUAAGUUAAAAAGCUUAAAUGGGAAUGAGGGACGAGAAGACCCUAUAGAUUUUUAUAUUUAUAAUAAUUUAAUUGUUUGGGGUAUUAUUUAAUUUAAUUAUUGUAAGUAUUUGGUUGGGGUGAUUAUAGAAUUUUUAGAACUUCUAUUUAUAUUUUUCAUAGAUUUAUGUUUUUUUGAUCCUUUA
rnacentral:rRNA from 1 species